ensembl:miRNA
GUAUUUGGUUGGUGCAAAAGUAAUUGCAGUUUUUGCCAUUGCUUUUGAUGGCAAAAACCACAAUUACUUUUGCACCAACCU